UGGGAUCUUCCCGGACCAGGGCUUGAACCCGUGUCCCCUGCAUUGGCAGGCAGAUUCUUAACCACUGCGCCACCAGGGAAACCCUACUUUGUCAAUUCUGAUCAUUAGAAAAAACUACAAGGCCCUUCUCUGCAGUCACUAUUGGGAAGUAAAGACACACAUCCAUUCAGGAGUGACAGAGGAGCCAAACUUGCUGUUCUUCAAACAGCCAACCAUCAUUUUCUCACUUCAUUUACUGAGUAAUCCACCAUGUCCUAAGAUGAAAGUGUCACUUUCAUCAUACACUACAAAUGUUGUUUCAGGGCUCUCCAUUCCAUUCCAUCUGUUUGUCUGUUUUACUAGCUCUGGCAUGCACUUCGGAUCUGGUAGGGCUAGUCCUUCCUCAUUCUUCUUCUUUUUUAGAAUUUUCCUGGCCAUUCAGCAAGGAUGUGUUUGACUGUCCUGGGUCCUAAGUUUCUGCCGUGUCUUUGUUUAAAUCACUAUGAACCUAAUACACUUGGGCCCUUCCAGUAUCACAUGGACUUAAAUUGAAGAAUGGGUUAAUUUCUUUUCUGUUGUCUUUAGUUGAUUCUGUACAAAAGACAUGGCUCCAGAAAGUAACUCCUGUACGCCUCCUUCAUCACACACCGAAUAAUAACGUUUCAUGGCAGAUAAAUUGGAAAAUUCCGAAAUUCCCAUAAAAAUCACCCAUAAUAUAACGUAACAUCCAGAGACAACUACUGUUCGAAUUCUAGAAAAUAUCCUUCUCUGCUUUUCUUCUCUGCCUGGGAUACAUAUCUACAAGGAUGUCCACAGUAUCAAAAACGAAUUCUGGAUAUCACCUGUGAAACAAGCAUACCUACUCAAACGACCAGAUUCAAAAAUUGUAUCUUCUAGAGAUCAAAAAAUAUUCAAGGGAACAAUGGAGACACAGGUUCGAGCCCUGGUCUGGGAAGAUCCCACAUGAUGCGGAGC